rnacentral:rRNA from 1 species
GAAUUGAAGAGUUUGAUCAUGGCUCAGAUUGAACGCUGGCGGCAGGCUUAACACAUGCAAGUCGAACGGUAGCAGGAAGAAAGCUUGCUUUCUUUGCUGACGAGUGGCGGACGGGUGAGUAAUGCUUGGGAAUCUGGCUUAUGGAGGGGGAUAACUGUGGGAAACUGCAGCUAAUACCGCGUAUUCUCUGAGGAGGAAAGGGUGGGACCUUAGGGCCACCUGCCAUAAGAUGAGCCCAAGUGGGAUUAGGUAGUUGGUGGGGUAAAGGCCUACCAAGCCUGCGAUCUCUAGCUGGUCUGAGAGGAUGACCAGCCACACUGGAACUGAGACACGGUCCAGACUCCUACGGGAGGCAGCAGUGGGGAAUAUUGCGCAAUGGGGGGAACCCUGACGCAGCCAUGCCGCGUGAAUGAAGAAGGCCUUCGGGUUGUAAAGUUCUUUCGGUAAUGAGGAAGGGAUGUUGUUAAAUAGAUAGCAUCAUUGACGUUAAUUACAGAAGAAGCACCGGCUAACUCCGUGCCAGCAGCCGCGGUAAUACGGAGGGUGCGAGCGUUAAUCGGAAUAACUGGGCGUAAAGGGCACGCAGGCGGACUUUUAAGUGAGAUGUGAAAUCCCCGAGCUUAACUUGG